rnacentral:rRNA from 1 species
UACGGAGGGUGCGAGCGUUGUCCGGAAUCACUGGGCGUAAAGGGCGCGUAGGCGGCUUUGUAAGUUAGAGGUGAAAGCCCAGGGCUCAACCCUGGAAUUGCCUUUAAGACUGCAUCGCUUGAACAUCGGAGAGGUAAGUGGAAUUCCGAGUGUAGAGGUGAAAUUCGUAGAUAUUCGGAAGAACACCAGUGGCGAAGGCGACUUACUGGACGAUUGUUGACGCUGAGGUGCGAAAGCGUGGGGAGCAAACAGG